CCUANGGGAGGCUGCAGUGGGGAAUUUUGGACAAUGGGCGCAAGCCUGAUCCAGCCAUGCCGCGUGAGUGAAGAAGGCCUUCGGGUUGUAAAGCUCUUUCGGCAGGAACGAAAUGGUUCGUGCUAAUACCACGGACUGAUGACGGUACCUGAAGAAGAAGCACCGGCUAACUACGUGCCAGCAGCCGCGGUAAUACGUAGGGUGCAGGCGUUAAUCGGAAUUACUGGGCGUAAAGCGUGCGCAGGCGGUUUCUUAAGUCAGAUGUGAAAGCCCCGGGCUUAACCUGGGAACUGCGUUUGAAACUGGGAGACUUGAGUGUGGCAGAGGGGGGUGGAAUUCCACGUGUAGCAGUGAAAUGCGUAGAUAUGUGGAGGAACACCGAUGGCGAAGGCAGCCCCCUGGGUUAACACUGACGCUCAUGCACGAAAGCGUGGGGAGCAAACAGGAUUAGAUACCCCUNUANUC
rnacentral:rRNA from 1 species